UACGUAGGGGGCAAGCGUUGUCCGGAUUUAUUGGGCGUAAAGAGCGUGUAGGCGGCUUGGUAGGUCUCGCGUCAAAACCUGAGGCUCAACCUCAGUUCGCGUGGGAAACCACCUAGCUAGAGUCCGGAAGAGGAGUGUGGAAUUCCCGGUGUAGCGGUGAAAUGCGCAGAUAUCGGGAAGAACACCCGUGGCGAAGGCGGCACUCUGGGACGGUACUGACGCUGAGACGCGAAAGCGUGGGGAGCGAACAGG
rnacentral:rRNA from 1 species